rnacentral:lncRNA from 10 species
ACUGAGAGCUCCACCUUGGAAUCGCAUUCCUGAGAUGUCAUUAAGUCACAUAGAUGGAGAUGUCAAGAAGAGAAUUAUGGGCACCUAGACCAGAGAGAGAGGUUCAGGAAUCACCAGCAUUGAGAGACUAUUGAAGGCAACAGGGCUGGACAAAAUCACUUGGAAAAAAGCCAAGCUGGGAAAGAGAGGUGGUCCCAAGACCAAACUCUGGGUCUGGUUGGAGGAGAAGCCUGCAAGAGAGACUGGCAAGGGGAACAAAUCCAAAUAAGCUUAUGGUCUUAUUCUACAAGAUUCAAAAGAGUGG